AGGCCUUUUUCGGUGAAGUAAUCAUCAAAGCAGCAGUACAUUCCGUUAUCUGCUGUUAUUCUGAUGGGAAGCUCUUUGCAAAACAGUAGAUCCUAGCGAUGGUUACUGUUCCUGCAGUAUCUUACAAAAACUAACAAUAAAGCGGCACUGCUAACGUCAGUCAACUCGACUAGCUGUAUCACAAAAUAUGGGACUGCCUUUAUUACUUCCACAAGUUGGUGACUCUCGGCGCAUAUGCACAGCGUUGGGCAAAAUAAGCUCCUCUGAGGUCGUAAAGGGUUGCUAGCUACGAGGAGCGACCACAUAGCUAGCUGUCAAAGUGGCUUUUGACUGAGUUGUUAAUGUUGGUAAUGUUGUGAUGACUUUCUGUUGUGUCUGAAGCCCGUCCCUUUUCCUUGGGAAAGAUUCUUUCGUUUUCCCAACGCAUCCCGGGUGUUUUGUGCUUAAGUGUCAUGCUGGAGCUUCAAUGGUUUUAGCGCCUCAUUUGACAGGAUUCAUUCAACAUACUCUGCUUUCGGCUCAGCAUCACCGCCUGCCAUUAUGAAUCCAAAUUCCAGAAGGUGGCGGUAAUGCGCUUGAAGCUGUUUCCAAUGCCAUCAAGAGGAAGAGGGAUCGCGUGUAGAUGGGUUACCAUCUGGACACGAACGGGAAGUGGAAGAGGAGGAGGAGGAAGAAGGAGGCAACGAAGCGAACACUCGAAGCCGGUGCUGAGGAGCAAGUUGACCCUCAGUGAACAUAAGAUGUCGUCGACGUUUGUUUUAAAACCUUAUCUGAGUCCAAAGGGAGCGAGCAAGGGGAUAAUAUGACACUAGAGGCCUGAACUCCAACCUGCUCAUAAUGGAGGAUAUCCCGUCCAGAAACACAGACCUUCAUGUUGCAGAGGUCUCAUGCCUUCUCUGAAGAUGAGAUGGUUGACCUUUACAGGGCCAAGAGAAGAAAAAUGGAGAGGACAUAAAGACAUAUAUUUAUGGACCCAGAGAAAAGAGGCUGCCAGGACUGAUCUCCAGGCUGUGAAGAAUGGCCUGAGGAUGAUCCAACAGCCAUUCUGAAGCGGGACUGUGGAAAAACUAUCACAGGGGGAAAAAACUCCUUCACUCUCGCACUGUGAUGGAAAUGAAAGCAGAAUGUUGUUCUAACAGAGCUGCUGUCUGCCUUCUGAUGAUUGUUUAUACUUGAAGAUGUGAAUGUAUCUCAUUCCUUUUUUUGGUAAUAAACUUGUAACUCUGUU